UGGGUAAUUUUGCACAAUGGGGGAAACCCUGAUGCAGCGACGCCGCGUGAUUUAGAAGGCCUUCGGGUUGUAAAAAUCUUUUGUAUGGGAAGAAAAUGACAGUACCAUACGAAUAAGGACCGGCUAAUUCCGUGCCAGCAGCCGCGGUAAUACGGAAGGUUCGGGCGUUAUCCGGAUUUAUUGGGUUUAAAGGGAGCGUAGGCCGUUUGGUAAGCGUGUUGUGAAAUGUAGGAGCUCAACUUCUAGAUUGCAGCGCGAACUGUCAGACUUGAGUGCGCACAACGUAGGCGGAAUUCAUGGUGUAGCGGUGAAAUGCUUAGAUAUCAUGAAGAACUCCGAUUGCGAAGGCAGCUUACGGGAGCGCAACUGACGCUGAAGCUCGAAGGUGCGGGUAUCGAACAGG
rnacentral:rRNA from 1 species